rnacentral:rRNA from 1 species
UACGUAGGGUGCAAGCGUUGUCCGGAAUUAUUGGGCGUAAAGAGCUCGUAGGCGGUCUGUCGCGUCUGCUGUGAAAACUCAGGGCUUAACCCUGAGCUUGCAGUGGGUACGGGCAGACUAGAGUGCGGUAGGGGAGACUGGAAUUCCUGGUGUAGCGGUGAAAUGCGCAGAUAUCAGGAGGAACACCGGUGGCGAAGGCGGGUCUCUGGGCCGGUACUGACACUGAGGAGCGAAAGCGUGGGUAGCAAACAGG